GCAAGUCGAACGAACACGACCGGAGCUUGCCCCGGUACGGUUAGUGGCAAACGGGUGAGUAAUACGAAGGAAUCUGCCUUGCAGUAUGGGAUAACUAUUGGAAACGAUAGCUAAUACCAUAUAUUACCGAGAGGUGAAAGAUUUAUCGCUGCAAGAUGAGCCUUCGCAGGAUUAGCUAGUUGGUAAGGUAAUGGCUUACCAAGGCGAUGAUCCUUAGCUGGUCUGGGAGGAUGAAC
rnacentral:rRNA from 1 species